AACGUCUGCUGCUUCUCAAGCCACGCGUGAUAGUCCUUCUCUUCCUGAACAAUAACCUUGCUUCGCAUUUGCGCGUGCGCGAUGCCGCACAGCUCUGCGCAGAGGACCUCAAACGUCCCGGUUCGUGUUGGAGUGAACCAGAAANACGGAGCCGGGCACCAUGUCCAUCUUCGACCGGAACUCAGGCACGUAGAAAUCAUGCAGGACGUCGAUCGAGCGCAGCAAUACCUUCACCGGUUUCCCGACAGGCAGAUGCAGAUC
rnacentral:misc_RNA from 1 species